rnacentral:rRNA from 1 species
AAUGAACGCUGGCGGCGUGCCUAAUACAUGCAAGUCGAGCGAACGGACGAGAAGCUUGCUUCUCUGAUGUUAGCGGCGGACGGGUGAGUAACACGUGGAUAACCUACCUAUAAGACUGGGAUAACUUCGGGAAACCGGAGCUAAUACCGGAUAAUAUUUUGAACCGCAUGGUUCAAAAGUGAAAGACGGUCUUGCUGUCACUUAUAGAUGGAUCCGCGCUGCAUUAGCUAGUUGGUAAGGUAACGGCUUACCAAGGCAACGAUGCAUAGCCGACCUGAGAGGGUGAUCGGCCACACUGGAACUGAGACACGGUCCAGACUCCUACGGGAGGCAGCAGUAGGGAAUCUUCCGCAAAGGGCGAAAGCCUGACGGAGCAACGCCGCGUGAGUGAUGAAGGUCUUCGGAUCGUAAAACUCUGUUAUUAGGGAAGAACAUAUGUGUAAGUAACUGUGCACAUCUUGACGGUACCUAAUCAGAAAGCCACGGCUAACUACGUG